GGUGCCCAUAAUGGAGGCUACUUUAUUACUACGCGUAGUUACCAAGAUCUUGCUUCCAUUAGCACCCGUACACAAAAGCUCUUUCAAUUCAUUCCAUUUCAUGAGGUCAUCAUUCCAUACAUCAUCUAAGAUAAGCAAAUAUUUCUUAUCACCAAUGAUUUCUUGCAAAAAUCUUUGUAAUUGUUCCAUUUCCAUUUUACUCAACUUUUCCACACCAUGUUUCUUUCCCUCCUCUGUACAUUUAAUAAUUUUCUUUGUCAAUUUUCUUAUGUCAAAGUCUUCUAAUACACAAACCCACAUCUUAAGUUCAAAUUGAUUUUGCACUUGUUCAUCAUUAUAAACUAAUUUAG
rnacentral:misc_RNA from 1 species